rnacentral:rRNA from 1 species
ACGGGGUGCAGCAGGCGCGAAAACUUCGCAAUGCGGGAAACCGUGACGAGGGGAUCCUGAGUGCCCGCACUAAGGUGCGGGCUUUUCUUGAGUCUAAACAGCUCUUGGAAUAAGGUCUGGGCAAGACCGGUGCCAGCAGCCGCGGUAACACCGGCGGAUCGAGUGGUGACCACAUUUACUUGGCUUAAAGCGUUCGUAGCUGGAUGCGUGCAUUUCUGGUGAAAUCUAGCGACUCAAUCGUUAGGCGUGCCCGAAACACGGCGCAUCUUGGGACCGGAAGAGGUUAGCGGAAUUGUAGGGGUAAGGGUAAAAUCUGUUGAUCCCUGCAGGACCACCGAUAGCGAAGGCAGCUAACUAGUACGGCUCCGACAGUGAGGGACGAAACCCUGGGUAGCGAACCGGAUUAGAUACCCGGGUAGUCCAGGGCGUAAACGAUGUCAACUGGGUGUCGCGUUCGAUACGUUCGAAUUGCGGUGCCGAAGGGAAACCGUUAAGUUGACCGCCUGGGGAGUACGGUCGCAAGGCUGAAACUUAAAGGAAUUGGCGGGGGAGCACUACAAGGGGUGGAAGCUGCGGUUUAAUUAGAUUCAACGCUGGACAUCUCACCGGAGGCGACAGCAGUAUGAAGGUCAGGCUGAUGGUCUUACCGGACACGCUGAGAGGAGGUGCAUGGCCGUCGUCAGCUCGUGCCGUA